ensembl:lncRNA
ACAGCAUACAGUCUGGGCCACAAGCCCAGAAUUAUGAACCCGACAAACUGCAAUUAGCCAAGACCAAGAAUGAGGCAUCGUGCUCUAAUGAUACAUGAAACAUGUCGUUACAUUUAUUAUUAAAGUGAUAAAAGUAAUGACAUGCUUUAGAUAUCAGGUCAUACUGUCCAGCCCUACCAUUAGCGGUAAGUCAGUCCUGUCCUAACAGGUGCAAACGCACAACUCGGAGUCUGUACACGCCAACACAGUCCUGAGAAGAUGCCUGAUCGGCAAAACAAAAUUAAUAAAAACAGCCGUGUGGGUGGACCAGGGAUGAACUGCCCUGCAUAAAUGUUGAAACUGCAAUAUUACUUCUAAAUUUAUCUAAUUGCUGAAUGCUUGGGACUUGUGUAGGAGUCCGGUGUGAGGCUGCUGACAACAAACAUGUUUACAGAUAAACAGGUUUCAUAUACAUGUCAAAAAUCUGGAAAAACUUUAGUCUCGUUUGGGUUUCUUAAGCCAAUCAUAGCACAGAGGUUAAAGACAAAAACACAAACAUUCAACAUUAUCUCAAAGACAUCAGUAUCCGACACAGGAUCCGUGUCGUUUGAACCAUCAAGCAGAAGAAGAUCACAGUGGGCUGACUGGGCAUGCAGAGCUCACAUCUUCUUUACAAGCUCAGUGUCUUUCUUAAAAAAGGGAAAAAAAAAAACUUCAAAGUGACAACUCGCUCUUUAAUGGUCUGAACCCAUCAUCCCACAGUUCCUCUGCCGUCUGCAUUAACCACUGCACCGCCCUGUCACCCACGGCCAAAGAAAGAAAGUGGCGACAAACCGUCCCCGGUGAGUUACAGUUUACAGAUUUACCUUGGCUGCACAGAUUUUACAUUCAUUUAUAGAAAACAAAACAAACAAUCUUUAUGAAAUUAUUACUGCAGUACAGUCGAAGCAGUUGUACACCACACUCGUAUGGAGAGAGUCAAUGCAACAAAAUCAUAUUUGCAAUGAUGAAAACGACUGCCGUUGUAGGUUUUGUCACUGGAGAGUACAGUAAAGCGAUUGAGCAUCGUGAACAGCUAGUGUUUUAUGUUAAACAGAAACAGGCCUGCUGCGGAGUGAAAACGUUAACCUGCAGAGAAAUCAAAAACGCAAAGGUGCUGGCAGAUCUCAGAGCUGCUGACGCUGCAGAGGAAAGACAGAUGUAGUUCAUGUGCUGUUCGGGCAUUUUAGUGUUGGGAGCACAUCGCCACCUUUGAUGGCGGUUAAUUGGAGUUUGCGAGCCGCGUGUCUGUCGUGUCUCUGCCACACUUUUGCCUCACAGGUUAUUGUAAAGUCUCACUUUUAAGCCAAAUCUCACACAAAGCGUAAUUUUCUUCUUCCAAUGGCCAACAUAGCAUGUUUUAUCAGAGUUUCUUGAACUGAACUCCACCUUCAAAUGGUUGGAGGUGAAAGAACUCCUUCAUUCUGAGACAGGGUGGUAGGUGUUUUCAAAGGGACUGAAAAAGUACUAAAUAAAAAUACUCUGUGGAACUCAGAAGGACUCUUUGUGAUCAUCACAUUCAUGUAAUAAUAGUUGGUUAUUACCAAAACGCCCUACAAGAUCCAGAGCCUCAGCUUAAUAUAAAUAAUAAUAAUUAAUAUUAUUUUAUUCUGUAAAAAUAACCCAACAAAAC